rnacentral:rRNA from 1 species
CCUACGGGUGGCAGCAGUCGAGAAUCAUUCACAAUGGGGGAAACCCUGAUGGUGCGACGCCGCGUGGGGGCAUGAAGGUCUUCGGAUUGUAGACCCCUGUCAUGUGGGAGCAAAUUAAAAAGAUAGUACCACAAGAGGAAGAGACGGCUAACUCUGUGCCAGCAGCCGCUGUAAUACAGAGGUCUCAAGCGUUGUUCGGAAUCACUGGUCGUAAAGCGUGCGUAGGCUGUUUCGUAAGCCGGUUGUGAAAGGCGCGGUCUCAAACCGCGGAAGGCACAACAUACUGCGAGACUAUAGUAAUGGAGGGGGAACCGGAAUUCUCGGUGUAGCAGUGAAAUGCGU